GCAGAGGCAGCUCCGCCCAAAUGGGGAAAAGGGAAGUGAAAGUAUCUCUCAGUUGCUGGGCAGACAGACUUGUGGCAGCAGGAACAAAGGAGUGACAGUCAGGGCCUGGAGGAGCAGGGCCAGCCCCCCGGGGGGGGGGGGGGGCCACUUCGGUGUGCAAAGGCACGGAAAUAUCUAUGUGUCCAUAAGUGUUUCUGUCCUUCUAUCUAAGGUUUCUAAGGGUAAUAGGGGUGGGGAGAGGGGAGCUGUGUGUUUGCCACCUUCCCCUCGCCAACGAGGCUGUGGGUGGGGGGGACAGAGGCAGAGACAGAAACUUAAAAUCUCCCUUCCUGCAGGAGAGCCUGGACCCCGACCAGGGAGAAGGAGACACGUGGAAAGAAGUCGCUGGAAUGCUGACCGGCACAGGCUUCCCUUGGAUGCAGAUGGAGAUUGGAACCGAGAUGAUCUGGAAGCAAAUACAUGGGCAGGCGAGCCCCGCUGGGAGGGUGACCCUCUGCCUCCGCGUCCUGUCUGUUCACAGAUUUCUCAUUCGGAUUUGGAGUCAUCAUUCCACAAAGCAUGAGACUUAAUUACAUUUGAAACUGCAGGGGAAAGAGGUUUCUACCCUCUUUCCGUGGAUGUUCUGUCUUCCCCGCAGAGGGGUGAACAUCAGUCUGGUUGGGAUUCCAGGAUGCUUCUAAGGACGUCUUUAACCAUGAGCAGGGUCUCUGUGUGCACCAGGUGCUGCACGCUUGUGGAUCUCGUCCCCUCUCCCUCUCUCACUCACUCUCAGGGGUACAAGGACUAGUAAGUUGAGCUACUGUUGGGCACAACUGUCCUCUGCUUCUUGCCUCCAUAGGACAUGUGGCCCAGACAAGGCCUGACACGGACGACACGACUUUUCUAGCAUCCCCUGUCUCUGUCCCUGGGCAUCAGGCUGACCCAGGCGACCACUGUGCUGGGUGUUGGCAUAAAUGUGCCAGCUUUUCCGUGGCUCUGCUUAGGGUCGCUGAGAUGAGCACUUGGAAUAGAGGCCACCGAGCAGCUAGCCAGUGGGGUAGGGAGAUACACAGGUGGCCCUCGUGGGGCUGACAGUGACACCUGGGGCUGGUCCUGGCCUGGAAGGAGGGAAGGAGCUGCCCCCGUGGGGCCAGGGGGAGCUGGACAUGCAUCACCUCUGUAAGAGCAGCAGUGGUUCCUGAGGAAUCUGGAGGCCUCUGUAAAGAAAGCAAAGUUUCUGUGAUCCAGAAAAAGCCAGACCCACCAGGUUAGGAUAGGGACAGGACCAGCUUGAGGAGCAGAUUUCACUCCUGAAAAUCCUUCUGGACUCAUCUGAAGGAAACAAGGAAGCGCCUGGGGCACUUUCUGCAGCUUCAAGGAACACUGACACCAGGGCCACCGUCACUGUUCCAGAAGUAGCACAAGUGCUCGACCUGGAGGCCUGGAAAGCCAGAGAAGCCACACUGAGGAGGAACCACAGGGCAAAGAAGCCACCAAGGGGACGGGCUCAGUAAGUGUCACCAGGAGCAGAUUCUGUUCAGACUUUGAAGGUAUAUAUGAAGCAAUAUCCUUGUCGGCUGCCCAUUUGCCUUGCCUAUAAGAACACCACGUCUUGUAAGCUAUCUCCAGAGACAUCCACGGACCAGGCCCCACGGCUGUCAUUCUAACCUUGCUGCGCAUUACAGAAGUUGUGUUGUCAUGCUCUGACAGUUAAAUGCUACCCCUGAUUUUGUUAUCCAAUCAUUUCCGUUGCUGGAAUACAGUUCUGUGCAACAUUCCCACAUCAUUCUGACCUACAGAGGACAGCCCCUGCUGAGCAUCUCAAGGAUGCUAUCGCCCCCUUAGCAGUAUGUUCUUUAUCACCUUGGUAAGUCAGUGUCUCUGAGGCCUCCUGAGGAACAGUUACCUGUAGGUGGUUUUUCCAGCUGGAGAGAAUAAAGCCAUGCCAAUUUCA